GUGCUCGCUUCGCAGCACAUUUAUUAAAAUUGGAACGAUACAGAGAAAGAUUAGCAUGACCCCUACUCAAGGAUGACACACAAAUUCGUGAAGCGGUCCAUAUCAAA
rnacentral:snRNA from 1 species